AGUGAACGCUGGCGGCGUGCUUAACACAUGCAAGUCGAACGAGAACGGGUUAUAGCUUGCUAUAAUUGUCAGCUAAGUGGCGCACGGGUGAGUAAUGUAUAGGUAAUAUGCCUCUUACUAAGGGAUAACAAAUGGAAACGUUUGCUAAUACCUUAUACUCCUUAUUAACAGAAGUUAAUAAGGGAAAGAUUUAUUGGUAAGAGAUUAGCCUGUAUUGUAUCAGUUAGUUGGUGGGGUAAUGGCUAACCAAGACUAUGACACAUAACUGGUUUGAGAGGAUGAUCAGUCACACUGGAACUGAGACACGGUCCAGACUCCUACGGGAGGCAGCAGUGGGGAAUAGUGCACAAUGGACGAAAGUCUGAUGCAGCAACGCCGCGUGGAGGAUGACACAUUUCGGUGCGUAAACUCCUUUUAUAUGAGAAGAUAAUGACGGUAUUAUAUGAAUAAGCACCGGCUAACUCCGUGCCAGCCGCCGCGGUAA
rnacentral:rRNA from 1 species